GUCUGCGGCCAUAUCCACUGGAAAGCACGAUUUCCCGUCCGAUCAAUCAUAGUUAAGCCAGUGAGAGCCUUCAUAAGUACUACGGUGGGAGACCA
rfam:Nadsonia fulvescens var. elongata DSM 6958 unplaced genomic scaffold NADFTscaffold_14, whole genome shotgun sequence.